rnacentral:rRNA from 1 species
GACGUAGGGCGCGAGCGUUGUCCGGAUUUAUUGGGCGUAAAGAGCUCGUAGGCGGCUUGUCGCGUCGUCCGUGAAAACCCACGGCUUAACUGUGGGCUUGCGGUCGUACGGGCAGGCUAGAGUUCGGGUAGGGGGAGACUGGAAUUCCUGGUGUAGCGGUGAAAAUGCGCAGAUAUCAGGAGGAACACCGGUGGCGAAGGCGGGGUCUCUGGGCCGAUACUGACGUGAG